ensembl:lncRNA
GUGGUGGUUGUAGUGGUGGUGGUAGUGGUGGUAGUAGUAGUAGUGGUGGUAGUACUAUUAGUUGUGGUGGUAGUAGUAGUGGUGGUAUUGGUGGUUGUAGUGGUGGUAGUAGUAGUAUUAGUAGUGGUUGUGGUGGAGGUAGUAGUAGUAGUGAUGUUGGUGGUAGUGGAGGUGGUGGUAGUAGUGCUGGUGAUAGAGGUGGUGGUGGUGGAGGUGGUGGUAGUAGUGGCGGUGGUGGAGGUAGUAGUAGUGGUGGUAUUGGUAGUGGUGGUUGUUUUUAGUAGUUGUGGUGGUGGUUGUAGUAGUAGUGGUGGUGGUGUUGGUAGUGGUCGUGGUAGUAGUGGUGAUAUUGGUAGUGGUGGUUGUAGUAGUAGUAGUAGUGGUGGUUGUAGUGGUGGUUGUAGUGGUAGUUAUGGUGGUGGUAGUUGUGGUGGUGGUUGUAGUCCUAGUAGUGGUCGUAGUUGUAGUAGUGGUGGUAGUUGUGGUGGUGGUAGUAGUAGUAGUGGUAGUAGUAGUAGUGGUGGUGGUGGUGGUUGUAGUGGUGGUAGUAGUAGUAGUGGUGGUAGUACUAUUAGUUGUGGUAGUAGCAGUAGUGGUAGUAGUAGUGGUGGUAUUGGCGGUUGUAGUGGUGGUAGUAGUAGUAUUAGUAGUGGUGGUGGUGGUGGUAGUAGUAGUAGUAGUGAUGUUGGUGGUAGUGGAGGUGGUGGUAGUAGUGCUGGUGACAGAGGUGGUGGUGGUGGUGGAGGUGGUGGUAGUAGUAGUAGUGGUGGUAUUGGUAGUGGUGGUCGUAGUAGUAGUUGUGGUAUUGGUAGUGGUGGUUGUAGUAGUAGUAGUGGUGGUGGUGGUUGUUCUAGUAUUAGUGGUGGUGGUGUUGGUAGUGGUGGAGGUGGUAUUGGUAGUGGUCAUGGUAGUAGUAGUUGUGGUGAUGGUGGUGGUGGUAGUAGUAAUAGGUGGUGAUGGAGGUGGUGGUGGUGGUAUUGGUAGUGGUCAUGGUAGUAGUAGUUGUGGUGAUGGUGGUGGUG